rnacentral:ncRNA from 1 species
AGCCUUUUUGUCAUCUAUUGCCAAUCUUACACAUGCAAGUAUCCGCAUACCCGUGAAAACGCCCUCAACCCCUCUACUAAGGAAGAGGAGCCGGUAUCAGGCACAAUAUACUCAGCCCACUACACCUAGCCACGCCACGCCCACAAGGGUAUUCAGCAGUGAUAAACAUUGUUUAUAAGCGCCAGCUUGAAUCAGCUAUGGCAAAGAGGGCCGGCAAAUCCGGUGCCAGCCGCCGCGGCUACACCGUUAGGCCCAAGUUGACACACAUCGGCGUUAAGCGUGAUUAAAGUGACUUUAUAGAUUAGAGUUAAACCCAAACUUAGUUGUGAUACACUUGUCCCCAGGAAACCCAAAAACGAAAGCUACUCUAACCCAUCCACUUGACCCCACGACAGCUAGGAUACAAACUGGGAUUAGGUACCCCACUAUGCCUAGCCGUAAAAUAUACACUCACUCCAUAAAUCGCCAGGGAAUUACGAGCCCAAGCUUACAACCCAAAGGACUUGACGGUGUCCCACCCACCUAGAGGAGCCUGUUCUGUAAUCGAUUAUCCCCGAUAAACCUCACCAUUUCUAGUAAACUCAGCCUGUAUACCUCCGUCGUAAGCUUACCAUGUGAACGUCUACCAGUGAGCUCAAAGAUCCCCACCCACACGUCAGGUCAAGGUGCAGCUAAUGAACUGGGAAGAAAUGGGCUACAAUUUCUAUAAUAGAACAAACGAAAGGCUACAUGAAACAUAGCCACUGAAGGCGGAUUUAGCAGUAAAAAGAAAAUAGAGAGUUCUUUUUAACAAGGCGCUGGGACGCGU